rnacentral:rRNA from 1 species
AUUGAACGCUGGCGGCAGGCCUAACACAUGCAAGUCGAGCGGAUGAAGGGAGCUUGCUCCUGGAUUCAGCGGCGGACGGGUGAGUAAUGCCUAGGAAUCUGCCUGGCAGUGGGGGAUAACGUCCGGACACGGGCGCUAAUACCGCAUACGUCCUGAGGGAGAAAGUGGGGGAUCUUCGGACCUCACGCUAUCAGAUGAGCCUAGGUCGGAUUAGCUAGUUGGUGGGGUAAAGGCCUACCAAGGCGACGAUCCGUAACUGGUCUGAGAGGAUGAUCAGUCACACUGGAACUGAGACACGGUCCAGACUCCUACGGGAGGCAGCAGUGGGGAAUAUUGGACAAUGGGCGAAAGCCUGAUCCAGCCAUGCCGCGUGUGUGAAGAAGGUCUUCGGAUUGUAAAGCACUUUAAGUUGGGAGGAAGAGCAGUAAGUUAAUACCUUGCUGUUUUGACGUUACCAACAGAAUAAGCACCGGCUAACUUCGUG